rnacentral:rRNA from 1 species
UAACUGAAGAGUUUGAUCAUGGCUCAGAUUGAACGCUGGCGGCAGGCUUAACACAUGCAAGUCGAGCGGAGAGAGGUAGCUUGCUACUGAUCUUAGCGGCGGACGGGUGAGUAAUGCUUAGGAAUCUGCCUAUUAGUGGGGGACAACAUUUCGAAAGGAAUGCUAAUACCGCAUACGUCCUACGGGAGAAAGCAGGGGAUCUUCGGACCUUGCGCUAAUAGAUGAGCCUAAGUCGGAUUAGCUAGUUGGUGGGGUAAAGGCCUACCAAGGCGACGAUCUGUAGCGGGUCUGAGAGGAUGAUCCGCCACACUGGGACUGAGACACGGCCCAGACUCCUACGGGAGGCAGCAGUGGGGAAUAUUGGACAAUGGGCGGAAGCCUGAUCCAGCCAUGCCGCGUGUGUGAAGAAGGCCUUAUGGUUGUAAAGCACUUUAAGCGAGGAGGAGGCUACUUUAGUUAAUACCUAGAGAUAGUGGACGUUACUCGCAGAAUAAGCACCGGCUAACUCUGUGCCAGCAGCCGCGGUAAUACAGAGGGUGCAAGCGUUAAUCGGAUUUACUGGGCGUAAAGCGCGCGUAGGCGGGCUAAUUAAGUCAAAUGGUGAAAUCCCCGAGCUUAACUUGGGAAUUGCAUUCGAUACUGGUUUAGCUAGAGUGUGGGAGAGGAUGGUAGAAUUCCAGGUGGUAGCGGGUGAAAUGGCGUAGAGAGAUCUGGAGGAAAUACCGAUGGCGAAGGCAGCCAUCUGGCCUAACACUGACGCUGAGGUGCGAAAGCAUGGGGAGCAAACAGGAUUAGAUACCCUGGUAGUCCAUGCCGUAAACGAUGUCUACUAGCCGUUGGGGCCUUUGAGGCUUUAGUGGCGCAGCUAACGCGAUAAGUAGACCGCCUGGGGAGUACGGUCGCAAGACUAAAACUCAAAUGAAUUGACGGGGGCCCGCACAAGCGGUGGAGCAUGUGGUUUAAUUCGAUGCAACGCGAAGAACCUUACCUGGCCUUGACAUAGUAAGAACUUUCCAGAGAUGGAUUGGUGCCUUCGGGAACUUACAUACAGGUGCUGCAUGGCUGUCGUCAGCUCGUGUCGUGAGAUGUUGGGUUAAGUCCCGCAACGAGCGCAACCCUUUUCCUUAUUUGCCAGCGAGUAAUGUCGGGAACUUUAAGGAUACUGCCAGUGACAAACUGGAGGAAGGCGGGGACGACGUCAAGUCAUCAUGGCCCUUACGGCCAGGGCUACACACGUGCUACAAUGGUCGGUACAAAGGGUUGCUACCUAGCGAUAGGAUGCUAAUCUCAAAAAGCCGAUCGUAGUCCGGAUUGGAGUCUGCAACUCGACUCCAUGAAGUCGGAAUCGCUAGUAAUCGCGGAUCAGAAUGCCGCGGUGAAUACGUUCCCGGGCCUUGUACACACCGCCCGUCACACCAUGGGAGUUUGUUGCACCAGAAGUAGCUAGCCUAACUGCAAAGAGGGCGGUUACCACGGUGUGGCCGAUGACUGGGGUGAAGUCGUAACAAGGUAGCCGUAGGGGAACCUGCGGCUGGAUCACCUCCUUA